rnacentral:rRNA from 1 species
UACGUAGGGUGCGAGCGUUAAUCGGAAUUACUGGGCGUAAAGCGUGCGCAGGCGGUCUCGUAAGCUGGGUGUGAAAGCCCCAGGCUUAACCUAGGAAUGGCAUUCAGGACUGCGAGGCUCGAGUGUGGCAGAGGGAGGUGGAAUUCCACGUGUAGCAGUGAAAUGCGUAGAGAUGUGGAGGAACACCGAUGGCGAAGGCAGCCUCCUGGGCCAGCACUGACGCUCAAGCACGAAAGCGUGGGGAGCAAACAGG